CCUACGGGUGGCUGCAGUGGGGAAUAUUGGACAAUGGGGGCAACCCUGAUCCAGCCAUGCCGCGUGUGUGAAGAAGGCCCUCGGGUUGUAAAGCACUUUCAGUGAGGAAGAACGCCUGGUGGUUAAUACCCAUCAGGAAAGACAUCACUCACAGAAGAAGCACCGGCUAACUCCGUGCCAGCAGCCGCGGUAAUACGGAGGGUGCGAGCGGUAAUCGGAAUUACUGGGCGUAAAGCGCGCGUAGGUGGCUUGAUAAGCCGGGUGGGAAAGCCCCGGGCUCAACCUGGGAACGGCAUCCGGAACUGUCAAGCUAGAGUGCAGGAGAGGAAGGUAGAAUUCCCGGUGUAGCGGUGAAAUGCGUAGAGAUCGGGAGGAAUACCAGUGGCGAAGGCGGCCUUCUGGACUGAAACUGACACUGAGGUGCGAAAGCGUGGGUAGCAAACAGGAUUAGAUACCCUGGUAGUC
rnacentral:rRNA from 1 species